rnacentral:rRNA from 1 species
GACGAACGCUGGCGGCGUGCUUAACACAUGCAAGUCGAACGGAAAGGCCCUGCUUUUGUGGGGUGCUCGAGUGGCGAACGGGUGAGUAACACGUGAGUAACCUGCCCUUGACUUUGGGAUAACUUCAGGAAACUGGGGCUAAUACCGGAUAGGAGCUCCUGCUUCAUGGUGGGGGUGGGAAGGUUCGGGGGGUUGGGGAUGGAGUGGUGGCUUAUCAGCUUGUGGUUGGGGUAGUGGCUUACCAAGGCUUUGACGGGUAGCCGGCCUGAGGGGGUGACCGGCCACAUUGGGACUGAGAUACGGCACAGACUCCUACGGGAGGCAGCAGUGGGGAAUAUUGCACAAUGGGAGGAAGCCUGAUGCAGCAACGCCGCGUGCGGGAUGACGGCCUUCGGGUUGUAAACCGCUUUCGCCUGUGACGAAGCGUGAGUGACGGUAAUGGGUAAAGAAGCACCGGCUAACUACGUG